rnacentral:rRNA from 1 species
UACGUAGGUGGCAAGCGUUGUCCGGAUUUACUGGGUGUAAAGGGCGUGUAGCCGGGUUCAUAAGUCAGAUGUGAAAUCUGGAGGCUUAACCUCCAAACUGCAUUUGAAACUGUGGAUCUUGAGUACUGGAGAGGCAGACGGAAUUCCUAGUGUAGCGGUGAAAUGCGUAGAUAUUAGGAGGAACACCAGUGGCGAAGGCGGUCUGCUGGACAGCAACUGACGGUGAGGCGCGAAAGCGUGGGGAGCAA